rnacentral:lncRNA from 1 species
AGCGUCGGCUCUGCGAUUGCCCAGCGCUCCCGGGCUGCUGCGCCGCCGAGCGCGGAGGAGGAGCUGGUGAGAGUCACCGGUCGCCUCCGGACGCUCAGUAAAUAUUUGUUGAAUGAAUGAGCCGUGAGCUCCCGCCUUCGCCUCCGGGAGCGUCUGCUGCAGCCCCGAGAGAGCCGGAAGCCGAGCUUCAAGGUCCGCAGAGAACUGGUGCAAGGGACACGGGCGCUUCAGAAGUAGACGUAUCCAAUCUAGAAGACCCUCCGUUAGGACACUGUUGACAAAGCGCUAAUCCGGAAACCCCAAACUCAGGGAUUUAUUUCUCCUCAGUUGCAGCAACACAAACUUUCACACUAAGGGAAGAAGUUCGCUCCAAAAGGUUCCCCUUUCCAACUGACCCCCUGCCCAGAAGGCAUCCUUGUGGGGAGGACCCCAGAACAUCUACCACCACCACCACCACCCCACCCCCCAACUCCCACCACUGUCCUUUUUCAGCCUGGGACUGAGGACUCCAAAAGGCAGUUGUGCGUUAAACUACACAGGGGUGCGCUUGGCGCCCUCUGCCGGCGGGGAGACGCGCUUCCAUCUUGGAGAGACCUCCAGAAUGAAAAAGCUACUUAGUAGUAAGGACACCUCACACUUAGAAGUAAAAUUUCAGACUAACCAGCCAACCAGUUAGCUUCGCCAUCUGAAAAAUACCUCUUGCGGGAAAUUGUGUUGUUCUUGGAGUCUGUGGAGGCUUUCUUGCCGGUUUGGAACCUGACAAGAACAGAACAUGUAAUUAAAACACACAGUAAUAGACAGUAAUGCUUGAUUAGAGAUGAGUGAACUCUGAUGACUUUUUGCAAACCAUGCCUGAAUAUAUAUAUAUAUAUAUUAGUCUUGGUUUUCCUCCUGAGAAAGUAAGUUCUGAACUUAAAGUCCUGGUUGAAAGAAACAAUAGGUACUUAUGACCGUGCUUCAGCCAUCUUUCUUAAAGUGGUUCAGUCGCAUCUCUUUUUUUUUAAUGCCAGUUUUUAUUCUUGAUAGUUGAGAUCUUAAAGUUGAGUAUGAUUACAUAAUGUGUCAUUUAUCUCCUUUGUGAUUUAAAGUUACAUGUUCAUUGUAUACUUAAUACUGAAUAUUUAGAAAAAUAAAAUCACCAAAAAUUCUAAGCAAUAGGGAAGCAAUCAACCAAACUACAAACUGAGCUACUGUACUAAGCAGUUCUCAAAAGAAGAAAUUAAAAAUGGCUAAGGAAACACUCUAAAAAAAGAAAGAAAAAAGUUCCAAUAGGAAUCUAUUUAUAAUACACAGCAAGACAUAUUUCCAUCAGUGUAGACCUGACAUCCACAAAGAUUUCCACCAUCUCCCCAAAAAUAACUUCUUCUAGGUCAAUGAUGUUGUGAUCGACUUAACCACCCAAGCUAGAUAAUUUCUCUUCCUUCCGCCCUAAGUGACCUACUAUGUGUUGGGCACUGUUCCUGGAAUGGAGGUUCAGUAGUGAGGUAAAUGAGACCCCUACCUUCACACAGCUGUUGGAAGAAGUUAAGACUUGAAAUUAAUGCAUGCCAAAGGAGGCUAGGCCUGCAAAGAGAAACCCUAGCCAGGAACAUGGGGAGUGUGGGUGCCAGAGAUUUACACAGAAACAUCUGGAAAGACAUCUGAGAUAAGGGGAGACUGAAAGGCAGAACUACAGGAAGUGAGGAUGACCCCAUGAUAAAAGGGGGAGUGUUCUGGACCACAUGGACAGCAAACACAAAGGCCACCAAGCAGGUCUAACAGGCUCCAAACUGGCAUAGAAUCCUGGACAGCGAGUGAUCUGAGCGAAACAGGAAACUUGGCUCAAGAGGCACCGGCGAAGGAGGGCCAUGACCCGGACGAGGACUUCCUGUGUUGUUACAGAUUCUAAAGGUUCUCGGGCUUGUGUCGGUGGGGAUACCAGACACUGUCCAACUGUGUCUGCUGUGGUGUGAACCGACUGACUCUAAAGGGCUAACUAAGGAUGCCAGUUAAUGGAGAACGCCAGGGAUGGUAGGCUGCUGUGAAAGGGGCUGGAGUUCUAGACAUAAACUGAAGGGGGCGCCAACAGGAAGACAGUGCGAGCAGAGAGGGAUUCUCUAUGAAGCUUACUGGCCUCUCUGAUUUACCAGUCAAAGAUGCACAUAGGCUCUACAAAUUUUGAUUUUGUAGUGUGAGGGAUAAAGUAAAGAAUGACCCGGGGCU